rfam:Haemonchus contortus, ISE/inbred ISE, WGS project CAVP01000000 data, contig: Hcontortus_43090
GGCACAAAGUUGAAGUAGAGUAGAGUAGCAUGGUCAGCUGACCUUUCUAAACUACUCUACUUCGAAUUUGAGCCC